UACGUAGGUGACAAGCGUUGUCCGGAGUUACUGGGCGUAAAGCGCGCGCAGGCGGCGGUGCUGGCCCGGCGUGAAAGCCCCCGGCUCAACCGGGGAGAGUCGUCGGGGACCGCACCGCUUGAGGGCGGUAGGGGCUGGUGGAAUGCCUGGUGUAGUGGUGAAAUGCGUAGAGAUCAGGCAGAACACCUGGGGCGAAGGCGGCCAGCUGGGCCGUCCCUGACGCUGAGGCGCGAAGGCGUGGGGAGCGAACGGG
rnacentral:rRNA from 1 species